rnacentral:rRNA from 1 species
UACGUAGGGUGCAAGCGUUGUCCGGAAUUAUUGGGCGUAAAGAGCUCGUAGGCGGUUUGUCGCGUCUGCUGUGAAAUCCCGAGGCUCAACCUCGGGUCUGCAGUGGGUACGGGCAGACUAGAGUGUGGUAGGGGAGAUUGGAAUUCCUGGUGUAGCGGUGGAAUGCGCAGAUAUCAGGAGGAACACCGAUGGCGAAGGCAGAUCUCUGGGCCAUUACUGACGCUGAGGAGCGAAAGCGUGGGGAGCGAACAGG